rnacentral:lncRNA from 1 species
UAAAUACUUUCACUAUAGAAAAAUAGUGGAAAAUGGCCUAUUUGCAACCAAACUAUCUCAGCAUUUGGUCUCGGAGAUGUCACACCGAAAAUCAACAUUACUUUAGUCUGCUGAAGAUCAAUAGGAGAUGGAAAAAUUCAGUUGAGAAGGCAAGAAUCACAAAGUUGAAAAGGCCUUCUGGAGAAGAAAGAAGGGUCGUUUGGAAGGUACAUUGUCGGUCUACUUCGAAUUCAUCAUCAGUCAAUGAAGUGGAGCUGGCUGCAGGGCAGCUGGAAGUUGAAGGAAACACAUGCUAUUUAUAUAAUAGAAGAGAUGGAUUUGGUUCUUUAUUGAGUGAGCAUGGAUGGCAUAUAAGGAGGAUGGUGGAGACAGAUGAAGAGAUGAGGAAAGUUGCCGGAGUUCAGGCUGAAGCAUUCCAUGAGCCAGUGGUUUUGUUCAAUGACUUUUUCUUUGCAUUCUUCCAGGUUUUUACUCCACUAAUUUUGGUUAUCUGUUGUUUUAUUCACCUUUUCAAGGAGGAAAAUCACAGAAAACGAAGUACUGCAUGACUCAAAUCAUUAGCCUAGGUGAAUCUUUUGCUCUCCAAUUUUAGCAUUAAUCAUCUUGCUGUAAGUUCUACAGAAAGAAUGUUGCCAUUUUCUAUGUGUAAUUCUACAGUUGAGAUGAUACUAAAUUCUCAGUCAAUUCUAGAAAAAAUUGCAAUUGACUUGACGAUACAUUCAUGCAAUUCUGCUUCUGAUAGAUGUACAGCAGAAGCAGACUUCUCAGUUCCAUUGUUCAUGUUGGUACCCCAUUAGCUCCUCUGACUAUUGUAUAAUCGAUUAAUGACAGGCCGAAGUGCUUUCAGGACUCUUGUACAGACUCAGAAACUCACCACCAGACAGGUAAAAUGUGAGUAGUAAUAAUAAGAUAAACAUUAUGGGUAUGGCUAGGCUGGGCUAAGCUGGCAUUUCUUCUAUCACUAAUGGAUUUAAAGAUGCAUACAACGAACUAUUGGAAUGCAUGAGCAUUCCCGGACUUGGUAAAUUUGAGCUUCAUAUUAACAUUCAAGAUUACAUAGUCAGAGUUUCCCAUAUAAGUUAUCUUACUUUUCAUUGGUUUGGUUUCAUUACCAGGUAUGCCUGUCUAGUUGCCGAGCCUUCAAGGGAUUCCUCUGGCUCUAACAUGGAUGAUCUCGUUGGCGUUGUUGAUGUCACCGUUUCGAGGGAUGAUGAUGUCCUUCAGUACAUCUCAGGAGCAGAUGAAUAUCUUUAUGUUUCUGGCAUAGCCGUCUUAAACAAUUUCAGGUUAAUAACUGCAGAGCACCUUGAUAUCCAAUCCAACAAUCACUUGAUAUUUUGAUAAUUAGGAGAAUAUAAUUAGAAAUUAUGCAUAAUUUACAGGAGGAAAAAAGUUGCAACUGCUUUGCUGAAAGCCUGUGACAGGCUUUGCAACCUUUGGGGCUUUGAAUAUCUUGUCCUGCGGGCUUAUGAAGAUGACUGGGGCGCCCGAGAACUGUACUCGAAUGCAGGUUAUAGAGUUGUCUCGGGAGAUCCUGCUUGGUUGACUACCUGGGUUGGUCGAAGGCGGCGGGUUCUUAUGAUUAAAGAGUGUGAUAAUACUUAAAAAGCAGAUUGAUUGAGCCCUUGAAUGAUCAAAUACCAUAACCAUUGGGAUCUGCUACUCAUUCAAUGACUGAUCUGGUCUUGGCUAUUAAAAGAUUGAAAUCAGAAUCGAUGAAUUAGAGAAGUUUGCUGACCCUCAAGAAGAAUUGUUAAGCAGGAAGAGUUCCACAGACAGCAAAAACGCACAAUCAAUUUUCUUGGCUGUUUUAUUAGGUGCAUAAGAAAAUUAGUUUAAACAGACUAUAGACUCGACAACCUGCAUUUUAGUGACUUGAGCUGCUUCCAGCUAAAAGGGCAAUAACAGUUUGAGCACCAUCCUGCAGUCAAUAUUUGAUCUCCAUUACAAGAUUUCUUCGAUUUCUUUGGCUGGUGGACGGGAUCAGGCUGAUCAAUUUACAUGUCUUGAGAAAUUAGAAUUGCAGCAGUAUUCGAAAUCAAAAGAAAUCCCUUCUUGUUUAAGGUCUAAUUCGACUCUUGAAAUCAUUUGACAUUCGCUGGAGUCCUCUCUCAGCUGUAAGUUUGGUAGAGAAGACUAUGGAAGAACAGGAGAUUGUUACC